AGAUCCUGAAUGCGGAGAAUGUGAUGGCGGUGGUGACUCGCUGGUAUGGUGGCAUCCAUCUUGGCCCCGACAGAUUCAAACACAACAACAACCUCUCGCGGGAAAUCUUACAUCAGCAUGGCUACAUCAAAGAGAAGGAGGAUAAGAAAGGACCUCCGACCAACAAGAAAAGGUGACGUCACUCUACAAGAUGCCAUUGAGUCCGGAAUGAGAGCUAUUGUACAGGAUUUAUCUGAAGAGUAUCUUUAAGAGCUAUCAAUGUUAAGGCUUCAUUCACCAUGGGAGCAUGUGAUAUGUUAUAGAACAUUUGUAAAUAAUACAUGGAUGUGUCAUAAGUUAGCUAAUCAUUUCUUUAUUUCGUGACAUUUAUUCCAUUUUCUUCUGCUGUCACUCAAUGGUUCCCAUCUAUUUUCAUUUGAAAUAUACAUCUACAAAGCUAAUACAUUCGGAUUUGGAAAUGAUGAGAAAACUUUUGACACAUUUCUGUUGUGAAUGAUCUGAGCAUGUGUUUUAUUUGAUAUGGUGGCACAAAGUAUGAAAUGUACCAUUUAAUGUUUAUAACAAUAAGUAAGUAUGUUUUUAAUUAAUGUCACAUGGGAUGAAGGAAGUAGGCUUUUUUAGGUGCAGCUGUACUGGUAUUCUUUUAAUGUGUACAUAACUGAUUGCUUGUUAUCAGAAUAACUUCUUUUAUUGACUUUGUUUUGGACGUUGUUACAACUGAGCAGCAAGUAGCGCCUAAUGUUGAUGUUUUUGUUGGCUGUAUGUUAGUGAUGCCUAUAUAAUUGUGAUAGUAUACUUUUAAGUUCAGCUGACAUUGCCUUUGUGUAAAAGUGUUAUGCCUUCUUUGAGUGGCAUUUUAGAAGUUGGGAAGUACAAUAUAGAACAAACUUUAUGGAUAACAACUUCUUUUUAUUUGUGAGUGCGACGUUUCGAUAGAUUCUGGUACUGUUGUCAAUUCCUGCUUGACAAUGGUACAAGAAUCUGUAUCCAAACGUCACACUCACAAAUAAAAAGAAGUUGUUAUCCAUAAAGUUUGUUCUAUAAAGUGUAAUACUUCAUGAAAGUGGUACUUUUCAACCUUCGAGUUCACAUCCUUCAUGGACAUUAUUUUACAAUGUUGAACUACAACUACAGGUGUCUUGCCUGUAUAUAGUUGAGGCAACACAUAUAUUUUACCUGGUUUCAUGUAUCAGUUGCUUUGUAACUGAUUAGAUGUCCUUACUUUUUCUUUCUGGAAACAAAGUCAAAGAGUUAUCAAUUUUCAAAUGAAGCCAGAUUUUAUGAAUUCAUAUUUUAAUGUAGAUUGGAAUUGUUAAAUAAAAGCAAAGAAUUUCA